GAUUUCAAUUGAAAAUGUCGUCAACAACAAAAUUGUAUAACUCAUCAAUAUCUACAACUUUUAUUUUGGUCAUUUCUUCAUCCUACAAAGUGCUAGUAACAUUGUACACAAAAUUUACACAUCUCCUAUAUGAUUUUAUAAACUAUAAUAUAUAUAUAUAUAUAUAUAUAUAUAUAUGUAAAUUUUAUUAACAAUAUUACUAUCACUUUGUCGGAUGAAGAAAUGAACAAAAUAAAAGUUAUAUAUAUUGAUGAGUUAUACAACUUUGUUGUUGAUGACUUUUUCAUUUGAAGUC
rnacentral:pre_miRNA from 1 species